GACGAACGCUGGCGGCGUGCCUAAUACAUGCAAGUCGAACGCAGUGGGGACGGGUGAGUCACACGUGGGUAACCUCCCAUCAGAGGGGAUAACACUUGGAAACAGGUGCUAAACCGAUCCUGAUGGAUGGUACCGCGGUGCAUUAGCUAGUUGGUGAGGUAACGGCUCACCAAGGCCACGAUGCAUAACCGACAUGAGAGGGUGAGCGGCCAAACAGGGACCGAGACACGGCCCAGACUCCUACGGUAGGCAGCAGUAGAGAAUCUUCGGCAAUGGACGAAAGUCUGACCGAGCAACGCCGCGUGAGUGAAAAAGGUUGUCGGAUCGUAAAGCUCUGUUGUUAGAGAAGCGGUAUCUAACCAGAAAGCCACGGCUAACUACGUGCCAGCCACCGCGGUAAUAC
rnacentral:rRNA from 1 species